rnacentral:lncRNA from 1 species
GCCAAGGAGAGGAAAAUGGUGGAGAUGGAGGAAUGGAGUAAGGGUCCCAGGACCCCAAGGGGGCGCUGGAGUCCUCGGGGGAAUGAUGGACAGAGAAGAAAAGAUGGAAUCCUGGGAGUGGGUGGAGUCCUGAAGGAUGAGGGACAGAGUUGUGGAGUCUUGGGGGUGGGGCACUGUAAUCCUGGGGCAGAUGAUGGACAGAGAGGGAGAGAUGGAGUCCUGAGGGGGCGCUGGAGUCAUGGAGGGGAUGGUGGACACACAAAGAGAGAUGGAAUCCUGAGGGGGCGCUCGAGUUUUCCGGAGGAGAUGAUGGACAGAGAGGGAGAGACGGAGUCCUGAGGGGGCGCUGGAGUCCUGCGGAGAAGAUGACGGACAGAGGGGGCGCUGGAGUCCUGCGGAGGAGAUGAUGGACAGGAGUGGUCCUGAAGGGGGAACUGGAGGCAUGGCAGUGGAUGAUGGACAGGAAGGUGGAGGAGAGGUCCAGAGGGGCGCUGAAGUAACUUAAGGACGACGAAGUGGAGAGGAACCGACCUGGAGACUCUGGGAGGACCGGCAAGGCCCCAGAACAAGAAGAGCUGGAGGAAGCUGGGUGGUGACACUUGGAAUCACUUUAGUCAUUCAUUAAAUUGUUGCUGUUCUCAAGUUCGAGUGAGUUCUAGAAACCUUAAUGAUUAACACUGCCCAGUGCCCUGCAGCUCAGGAUGCUGGAGACUACUUCCUUGGUUUCCCCC